UUAUUUUGCCCCUAGAAUUAGCUGAGUAGAGGUGUACAGCAGUCUUGAAGGAGCGAUGAUUGGAGUCAUACCCUGGCGAGCAGAAGGUGGUGGCCGAUGUUAGAGUUGUGAUACUUGAGUUACCAAGAGGAGCGUGUGGAGGGGGGCGGGCUGGCCGAAACAGAGCAUUGAAGUAUCUAUUUGUGAAGAAAGCAGCAUUGGUGGAGACCAACCAACGCCACACUGCAGAGUAAUGGAAGAGGCUGUGACCUGCAGUUUCGGAGGUGAAACGCUCGAGUACCCUCGACGUGGGUGACGUUCCAUCGUGUAGUGACUCUAGGGACACAACCUCCAGCUGUUGAAGGAUCAAGUUUGUCUUCCAUACAAGAACCGAGUACGGAAGGAGGACGAGGUACACCAUUGAUGAAGAAGGAAAAGGGAUGGAGGGCGAGGGCAAGACUACUGCGGCCAUGAGGUGGACACACAUUCCUAGUUACAGCGGCCA
rnacentral:lncRNA from 1 species